rnacentral:rRNA from 1 species
UACGUAGGGGGCUAGCGUUGUCCGGAAUCAUUGGGCGUAAAGAGCGCGUAGGCGGCCAGAUAAGUCCGGUGUGAAAGUCAAAGGCUCAACCUUUGAAUGCCGCUGGAAACUGUCUGGCUAGAGUCCGGGAGGGGCGAGUGGAAUUCCUGGUGUAGCGGUGAAAUGCGUAGAUAUCGGAAGGAACAUCAGUGGCGAAAGCGACUUCCUGGACCAAUACUGACGCUCAUGUGCGAAAGCGUGGGGAGCAAACAGG